GUGUUCUAUAAAUUCAUCCUACCCGUGAAUCCGUCCUACUUACGCUCACCGCGCAUGUGCUUCUGAAUAUUUUUCCACUUUUGCGGAACGCCCAUAAAUCCGUGCUGCUCUUGUGGUUAACGUUACCUGCGAAAUGGAGAAUAAAUGGACAGAGAUUUAUGAUUUUCUUUCUGUGGGAUCAUACCCAUCUGGAUUCGAGAAAGCACAAAAGCAAAAUUUAAGAAGAUAUGCCUCAAAAUUUACUCUAAAGGAUGGAGAACUCAUUCCUCAGGGGUCAGGGGAACCAGGGGCCCAUCCCAGGGAAAACAGGGCUGGGUACAAUGGUACAAUCCAUCACAGGGCACAAUUACACUCACAUUCACACACUAUUAUCAGUUUGGCCACCAGUCAGGCUACAAUGCAUGUGACUAUAGGAGAAAACCAUAGCACUUUGAGUAAACCCACCAAACACAGGGACAACAUGCA